rnacentral:rRNA from 1 species
CUACCAUGCAGUCGAGCGGAUGAAGGGAGCUUGCUCCAUGAUUUAGCGGCGGACGGGUGAGUAAUGCCUAGGAAUCUGCCUGGUAGUGGGGGAUAACGUUCCGAAAGGAACGCUAAUACCGCAUACGUCCUACGGGAGAAAGCAGGGGACCUUCGGGCCUUGCGCUAUCAGAUGAGCCUAGGUCGGAUUAGCUAGUUGGUGAGGUAAUGGCUCACCAAGGCGACGAUCCGUAACUGGUCUGAGAGGAUGAUCAGUCACACUGGAACUGAGACACGGUCCAGACUCCUACGGGAGGCAGCAGUGGGGAAUAUUGGACAAUGGGCGAAAGCCUGAUCCAGCCAUGCCGCGUGUGUGAAGAAGGUCUUCGGAUUGUAAAGCACUUUAAGUUGGGAGGAAGGGCAUUAACCUAAUACGUUAGUGUUUUGACGUUACCAACAGAAUAAGCACCGGCUAACUUCGUGCCAGCAGCCGCGGUAAUACGAAGGGUGCAAGCGUUAAUCGGAAUUACUGGGCGUAAAGCGCGCGUAGGUGGUUCGUUAAGUUGGAUGUGAAAGCCCCGGGCUCAACCUGGGAACUGCAUCCAAAACUGGCGAGCUAGAGUACGGUAGAGGGUGGUGGAAUUUCCUGUGUAGCGGUGAAAUGCGUAGAUAUAGGAAGGAACACCAGUGGCGAAGGCGACCACCUGGACUGAUACUGACACUGAGGUGCGAAAGCGUGGGGAGCAAACAGGAUUAGAUACCCUGGUAGUCCACGCCGUAAACGAUGUCAACUAGCCGUUGGAAUCCUUGAGGUUUUAGUGGCGCAGCUAACGCAUUAAGUUGACCGCCUGGGGAGUACGGCCGCAAGGUUAAAACUCAAAUGAAUUGACGGGGGCCCGCACAAGCGGUGGAGCAU